rnacentral:rRNA from 1 species
CUUCGAUGGAUAGGGGUUCUGAGAGGAAGGUCCCCCACAUUGGAACUGAGACACGGUCCAAACUCCUACGGGAGGCAGCAGUGAGGAAUAUUGGUCAAUGGGCGAGAGCCUGAACCAGCCAAGUAGCGUGAAGGAUGACUGCCCUAUGGGUUGUAAACUUCUUUUAUAAAGGAAUAAAGUCGGGUAUGCAUACCCGUUUGCAUGUACUUUAUGAAUAAGGAUCGGCUAACUCCGUGCCAGCAGCCGCGGUAAUACGGAGGAUCCGAGCGUUAUCCGGAUUUAUUGGGUUUAAAGGGAGCGUAGAUGGAUGUUUAAGUCAGUUGUGAAAGUUUGCGGCUCAACCGUAAAAUUGCAGUUGAUACUGGAUGUCUUGAGUGCAGUUGAGGCAGGCGGAAUUCGUGGUGUAGCGGUGAAAUUCUUAGAUAUCACGAAGAACUCCGAUUGCGAAGGCAGCCUGCUAAGCUGCAACUGACAUUGAGGCUCGAAAGUGUGGGUAUCAAACAGGAUUAGAUACCCUGGUAGUCCACACGGUAAACGAUGAAUACUCGCUGUUUGCGAUAUACGGCAAGCGGCCAAGCGAAAGCGUUAAGUAUUCCACCUGGGGAGUACGCCGGCAACGGUGAAACUCAAAGGAAUUGACGGGGGCCCGCACAAGCGGAGGAACAUGUGGUUUAAUUCGAUGAUACGCGAGGAACCUUACCCGGGCUUAAAUUGCACUCGAAUGAUCCGGAAACGGUUCAGCUAGCAAUAGCGAGUGUGAAGGUGCUGCAUGGUUGUCGUCAGCUCGUGCCGUGAGGUGUCGGCUUAAGUGCCAUAACGAGCGCAACCCUUGUUGUCAGUUACUAACAGGUUCCGCUGAGGACUCUGACAAGACUGCCAUCGUAAGAUGUGAGGAAGGUGGGGAUGACGUCAAAUCAGCACGGCCCUUACGUCCGGGGCUACACACGUGUUACAAUGGGGGGUACAGAGGGCCGCUACCACGCGAGUGGAUGCCAAUCCCUAAAACCCCUCUCAGUUCGGACUGGAGUCUGCAACCCGACUCCACGAAGCUGGAUUCGCUAGUAAUCGCGCAUCAGCCACGGCGCGGUGAAUACGUUCCCGGGCCUUGUACACACCGCCCGUCAAGCCAUGGGAGCCGGGGGUACCUGAAGUGCGUAACCGCGAGGAUCGCCCUAGGGUAAAACUGGUGACUGGGGCUAAGUCGUAACAAGGUAGCCGUACCGGAAGGUGCGGCUG